rnacentral:rRNA from 1 species
GGAUGAACGAUGGCGGCGUGCCUAAUACAUGCAAGUCGAGCGAACGGACGAGAAGCUUGCUUCUCUGAUGUUAGCGGCGGACGGGUGAGUAACACGUGGAUAACCUACCUAUAAGACUGGGAUAACUUCGGGAAACCGGAGCUAAUACCGGAUGAUAUUUUGAACCGCAUGGUUCAAAAGUGAAAGACGGUCUUGCUGUCACUUAUAGAUGGAUCCGCGCUGCAUUAGCUAGUUGGUAAGGUAACGGCUUACCAAGGCAACGAUGCAUAGCCGACCUGAGAGGGUGAUCGGCCACACUGGAACUGAGACACGGUCCAGACUCCUACGGGAGGCAGCAGUAGGGAAUCUUCCGCAAUGGGCGAAAGCCUGACGGAGCAACGCCGCGUGAGUGAUGAAGGUCUUCGGAUCGUAAAACUCUGUUAUUAGGGAAGAACAUAUGUGUAAGUAACUGUGCACAUCUUGACGGUACCUAAUCAGAAAGCCACGGCUAACUACGUG